CCUACGGGCGGCAGCAGUGAGGAAUCUUGGUCAAUGGGCGGAAGCCUGAACCAGCCAAGUAGCGUGAGGGAUGAAGGUACAGAGUAUCGUAAACCUCUUUUGUCAGGGAACAAAGGCGGGGACGCGUCCCCGGAUGAGUGUACCUGAAGAAAAAGCAUCGGCUAACUCCGUGCCAGCAGCCGCGGUAAUACGGAGGAUGCGAGCGUUCUCCGGAGUUAUUGGGUUUAAAGGGUGCGCAGGCGGUCUGUUAAGUCAGCGGUCAAAGCCCGGGGCUCACCCCCGGCCCGCCGUUGAAACUGGCAGUCUCGAGUUGGAGAGAAGUAUGCGGAAUGCGCGGUGUAGCGGUGAAAUGCAUAGAGAGCGCGCAGAACUCCGAUUGCGAAGGCAGCAUGCCGGCUCCACACUGACGCUGAGGCACGAAAGCGUGGGUAUCGAACAGGAUUAGAUACCCUGGUAGUC
rnacentral:rRNA from 1 species